CAGCAGCCGCGGUAAUACGAACGGCCCGAGCGUUAAUCGGAAUCACUGGGCUUAAAGCGUGCGCAGGCGGACCAGAAAGUACCUUGUGAAAUCCCUCGGCUCAACCGAGGAACUGCUUGGUAUGCUGCUGGUCUUGAGCGUGGUAGGGGCGGUCGGAACGAUAGGUGGAGCGGUGAAAUGCGUAGAUAUCUAUCGGAACGCCUAAGGUGAAGACAGGCCGCUGGGCCACUGCUGACGCUCAGGCACGAAAGCGUGGGGAGCGAACGGGAUUAGAUACCCCGGUAGUCCACGCCCUAAACGAUGUGCACUAGAUCAGGGAAGUACUGACGCUUUCCGGAUCGUAGGAAAACCGUUAAGUGCACCGCCUGGGGAGUACGGUCGCAAGGCUAAAACUCAAAGGAAUUGACGGGGGCUCACACAAGCGGUGGAGCAUGUGGCUUAAUUCGAAGCAACGCGAAGAACCUUAUCCUGGAAUUGACAUGUAUGAAUUAGCGUAUGGAAACAUGCGUGACGCGGCUUGCCGUGGAACAUACACAGGUGCUGCAUGGCUGUCGUCAGCUCGUGCUGUGAAGUGUCGGGUUAAGUCCCUUAACGAGCGAAACCCCUGUCGUUAGUUGCCAGCGAGUCAUGUCGGGGACUCUAACGAGACUGCCGGUGUCAAACCGGAGGAAGGUGGGGAUGACGUCAAGUCCUCAUGGCCUUUAUGUCCAGGGCUGCACACGUGCUACAAUGGCAUGUACAGAGCGACGCGAGACCGCGAGGUGGAGCAAAUCGCAAAAAACAUGCCCCAGUUCAGAUAGCAGUCUGCAAUUCGACUGCUUGAAGGUGGAAUCGCUAGUAAUCGCGUAUCAGCUACGACGCGGUGAAUACGUUCCUGAGCCUUGUACACACCGCCCGUCAAGUCAUGGAAGCCGGGAGUGCCCGAAGCCGCCCUGAAUCAAGGGUGUCUAAGGUAAGUUCGGUGACUGGGACUAAGUCGUAACAAGGUAGCCGUA
rnacentral:rRNA from 1 species